GCAAGUCCUAAUUUUUGCAGCCAACUUCUUGGCUGUGUUCCUUGGCUGCAGAUGUGACAGUUUAUGUUACGUACACUAUAGAUUUUCAGUACAGGCAGUCAAUUUUGGAACAUAGCCCUUGUUGUACUUGACAGUCAGAAGUCCACUUGGAGAAGAAAAAAAAGAAUUCUGUAUCUUUUAUGAAUUCUGUAUCUGCAUCAAUCACAAAACGCUUAUUAAUAUAUUAUAUCCAGCUUUUUAUUAAAUUAAAAUUAUGGAUAAAAUUAUCCGCGAUGUACAAAUAAAUAAAAAACCUUUGAUUUCGCAAUCUUCAAGUAAUAGCAACCAUUCAUAUUAUAAAACACAUCAACUUGUUGCAACAAAAACAAAAAACAAUGAGGAAACAAAUGA